GACGUGACUUCAGAGUUUGAUCCUGGCUCAGGAUGAACGCUGGCGGCGUGCCUAACACAUGCAAGUCGAGCGAUCUCUUCGGAGAGAGCGGCGGACGGGUGAGUAACGCGUGGGUAACCUGCCCUGUACACACGGAUAACAUACCGAAAGGUAUACUAAUACGGGAUAAUAUACGAAAGUCGCAUGGCUUUUGUAUCAAAGCUCCGGCGGUACAGGAUGGACCCGCGUCUGAUUAGCUAGUUGGUAAGGUAAUGGCUUACCAAGGCAACGAUCAGUAGCCGACCUGAGAGGGUGAUCGGCCACACUGGAACUGAGACACGGUCCAG
rnacentral:rRNA from 1 species